rnacentral:rRNA from 1 species
CGAACGGUAACAGGUCUUCGGAUGCUGACGAGUGGCGAACGGGUGAGUAAUACAUCGGAACGUGCCCGAUCGUGGGGGAUAACGGAGCGAAAGCUUUGCUAAUACCGCAUACGAUCUACGGAUGAAAGCAGGGGACCGCAAGGCCUUGCGCGGACGGAGCGGCCGAUGGCAGAUUAGGUAGUUGGUGGGAUAAAAGCUUACCAAGCCGACGAUCUGUAGCUGGUCUGAGAGGACGACCAGCCACACUGGGACUGAGACACGGCCCAGACUCCUACGGGAGGCAGCAGUGGGGAAUUUUGGACAAUGGGCGAAAGCCUGAUCCAGCCAUGCCGCGUGCAGGAUGAAGGCCUUCGGGUUGUAAACUGCUUUUGUACGGAACGAAAAGACUCCUUCUAAUAAAGGGGGUCCAUGACGGUACCGUAAGAAUAAGCACCGGCUAACUACGUGCCAGCAGCCGCGGUAAUACGUAGGGUGCAAGCGUUAAUCGGAAUUACUGGGCGUAAAGCGUGCGCAGGCGGUUAUAUAAGACAGAUGUGAAAUCCCCGGGCUCAACCUGGGAACUGCAUUUGUGACUGUAUAGCUAGAGUACGGUAGAGGGGGAUGGAAUUCCGCGUGUAGCAGUGAAAUGCGUAGAUAUGCGGAGGAACACCGAUGG